rnacentral:rRNA from 1 species
AACGUAGGGUGCAAGCGUUGUCCGGAAUUACUGGGUGCAAAGGGAGCGCAGGCGGACCGGCAAGUUGGAAGUGAAAACUAUGGGCUCAACCCAUAAAUUGCUUUCAAAACUGCUGGCCUUGAGUAGUGCAGAGGUAGGUGGAAUUCCCGGUGUAGCGGUGGAAUGCGUAGAUAUCGGGAGGAACACCAGUGGCGAAGGCGACCUACUGGGCACCAACUGACGCUGAGGCUCGAAAGCAUGGGUAGCAAACAGG